AGGGGGAUAACACUUGGAAACAGGUGCUAAUACCGCAUAACAGUUUAUGCCGCAUGGCAUAAGAGUGAAAGGCGCUUUCGGGUGUCGCUGAUGGAUGGACCCGCGGUGCAUUAGCUAGUUGGUGAGGUAACGGCUCACCAAGGCCACGAUGCAUAGCCGACCUGAGAGGGUGAUCAGCCACACUGGGACUGAGACACGGCCCAG
rnacentral:rRNA from 1 species